rnacentral:rRNA from 1 species
UAUAACUAGCCUCCUCCGGGAGACCUGAAAAAAGCAAAGCAGGGAAAGCGGGGGAGGGGUUGACAGGGAUGAUUCGGAAGUGUAGGAUCAAACGGUUGACUCUUUCGGGGAGAAAAAAGCCCUGAAGAGAAAGACGCCCUGUGGAAACGCAGGGAGAGCGUCUCGGAUCAUUGACAACUAAAUAGGAGCAGCAACGUCCAAUUAAAGGGCCCUGAUCACGAAACACAGUAAUAAAAUGAAUCUGGAGAGUUUGAUCCUGGCUCAGAACGAACGCUGGCGGCGUGCCUAACACAUGCAAGUCCAACGUGAAAG